GACUUCUGCGUGCAUGCCUGUACCAGUGUGUGCUCUGAGAGUGAUUACAUCUUCAAACAGGGAGCUGUGACCAGACCUGCACCUGGGAUGCAGGCACCAACACUGCAGACAGGGGACUGCUCUACCAGGACUUCAAGAGCUGCCUUUCUGUCCAAGUUCUCCCCAAGAAGUGCCGUUUCUAAGCCUGGCUGUAAAAGCACAGCGAAGUGCUGCAGAGCCCAGUGCAGCUGUCAGCCCCAGCACGGAUCUAAUUCCUUCUGACAUUUCACACAGCUCUACUGGAAGCAGCAACACGCUUCACAUCCUGUCACUGCACAUCUAUUUGUCCAGCUGACUGUGGGGAAGAAUCAGCUCUUGGAAAAUGAAGGCCCGUGCCAAACAAUUUGCACCAAGAGAGGUAUACUGAAGUCUAUACACAGCCUAUGAGGAAGAGCUGCAUCCAGGGCUUCUUCAGUCUAGCCAAGACUUGACAGGAGACAUGACUGCUGCUUGCAAACAGGAGAAGGUUACUUGAACAACAGAAGGGAGCCUGGGACAGGGGCACCCCUCAGCACACAGAACAGUGGAUCCAGUCCUGUGCUCCCAGCAGCAGACACUUGUCAUGCUGCAGACCAACCCCACGGGCAGCAGCGAGGGAUUCCGGGAAGAACCUCCUUUCAACGUCUGCUGAGAAAUGGGC